UUCUUUCUCUCGGAUAACACACACACACACGCACACACCCUCCAUCUACAGAGAUCAAAGAUCUCUCUUCUCCCAAACACACACACACACACAGAGAUCGGAGAUCUCUCUUCUCCAUUCUCCGAUCUCUCUUCUCCCUUCUCCGAUCUCUCUUCUCCCAAACACCCACAUACAAAGAGAGAUCUCCGAUCUCUCUUCUCCCAAACACACACACACACACAGAGAUCUCUCGAUCUCUCUUCUCCCUUCGCCGUUGAUCGUGGCUCUGGCGAAGUCGGAGUUGGCUCAGUCGUCUUUGGCGGUGCGCCGUUGAGCAAGGAUCACGUUCAGUCAUCUGGUUCGUCUUCGUCUUCGUCAGGUUUUUGGGACGAAAUCGGCCCGGGAAUAGGCACACCGUCUCCGGCGUUCUUCUUCGACGUCGCCUCGGAGUCCGAUUGCACCAAACUCAAAAAAAUUUCGCCGAUAUUUCCAAAAUAUCGCGAUAAUAUUGCGAUAUUUGGCCGAAAACCAUUCGGAUACCACUUAGAAUAUCCAUCACCCGAAAAACCGAUAAUAUCGGCGAUAUUUCGCCGAUAUUAUCGGCAUUUUCUUCCAUGCUCCUAACCUACACCACAACUGGGCUCGGCUAGGGAUGAGCAAAUAACUAUUGGUUAUGGGUAACCAGUACCCACCUAUUUAAGUUAAAUGGUUACGGUAUGGGUGACCAUUUAGAUAAAUAAACGGUUAUGGGUAUAACUGUUUACCCGCGAAGUUUAAAUGGGCGGUUAUGGGUUUAACCCCGGUUAUAAACGAGUAACCGUUUAUCUAUUUAUUUUAUAUAUGUAAAAUUAACACAAACCAUGCUCUUUAGGGAUGGAAAAAAAUUACCAAAAAUUCCAAGCUUAACCGAAAAAAUCCUGAAACCAAACCGAAAAUUUCAAUAGAGAGAAAAUCAGCCAGCAUCUUAUUUUUCACAUUUCAUACCAUUGACGCGUCUAGA